rnacentral:rRNA from 1 species
UGGCGCACGGGUGCGUAACGCGUAUGCAACCUACCUUCAAUUGGGGGAUAACUCUGGGAAACUGGAAUUAAUACCGCAUAAGAUAGUAAUGCUUCAUGGCAUAGCUAUUAAAGAUUUAUCGAUUGAAGAUGGGCAUGCGUGACAUUAGUUAGUUGGUGAGGUAACGGCUCACCAAGACUUCGAUGUCUAGGGGUUCUGAGAGGAUGAUCCCCCACACUGGUACUGAGAUACGGACCAGACUCCUACGGGAGGCAGCAGUAGGGAAUAUUGGUCAAUGGACGCAAGUCUGAACCAGCCAUGCCGCGUGCAGGACGAAGGCCCUCUGGGUUGUAAACUGCUUUUGUAUAGGAAGAAACGCUCCGACGUGUCGGAGUUUGACGGUACUAUAAGAAUAAGGAUCGGCUAACUACGUGCCAGCAGCCGCGGUAAUACGUAGGAUCCAAGCGUUGUCCGGAUUUAUUGGGUUUAAAGGGUGCGCAGGCGGCUCAAUAAGUCAGUGGUGAAAGCCGACAGCUUAACUGUCGAAUUGCCAUUGAUACUGUUGAGCUUGAGUAUAGUU